UAUCAGUUUGCAAUUCUUUAAAAAAAUUUAUUGUUAUGCAUUUUGUUCCUUUAGUACACGUGCCUUCACUGCUUUACUGUUGAAUUUUACAGUUCGUCUAGAGCAUGGAGAAUCACAAAAGAUGUUCUAAAUAGUGAUGAUGGCGCUUCAAAAGCGAUGGUACUGAGUGACAAUGACAAACAGCUCUUUGAGGUCCCUUUCUCCCUCUCUAGCUAUAAAAUCGUAUUUUCAGGAAAUUUUACACUAAAGCUGUUCAUCAUGAAAUUUUGUUCAACUCUUAGUUGACUUGGCAUUAUCAUGAAGUGGCUGUAUGCUCUGGCAGUGUAGUUUGGUUACCUCUGUUUUCAAACCCAAAAUCCCUUCUGCAAUAGAUAUCUUUAGUUUAUUUUAUUGUUUAUUUACCUAAUAGUCUAGUUUUCUUUUCUUAACUAACUUCCUUUUUGACUUUCCACUUUCAAGUAUCUGAAUUCCUAUGUCUAGGUCAGUGUAGUUCUUUUUUUCUUACCUGCUUGUAUGAUAUGAAUUCUGAACAAUUCUUUUUAAAACCUUGGACAUGUACAAGCUUCUCACUGUUAACUACAUGUAUUUGUGAAAUUUAUGUGCUAUGAAGUAGUUGAAAUCUAGAUUUCACAGGUGAGAUCUCACGUUGGUUGGAGAGAGAAACAAACCAUUCCUUAUAAGGCUGUGGAAAUCUCUCUAGUGGACGCGUUUUAAAAGCUCGAAUGAAAGCUCGGGAGAGAAAGCUCGUAAGGUAAAGCCUAGAAGGGAAAACUCGAAAGGUAAAGCUUAGAAGGGAAAGUUCAAAGAGAACAAUAUUUACUAGCGGUGGGCUUGAGCUGUUACAAAUGGUAUCAGAGCAAGAGACCGAGCGGUGUGCCAGCAAGGACGUUGGAUCUCCAUGGGAGAUGGAUUGUGAGAUCCCUAGUGGAGAGGGGAGGAAGAAUUCAACAUUAUCACUUUUUUACUCUAACUGCUUAUUAAUCAACUUACUUUUGCUAAAACUCACUCCCAUAAACCUAUUAGCUUCGCCAUUUAUGGACCUUUUAGUUUAAAUUAUCAACCCUCGUUUCUAUUUUUCUAAUGUAAAUUGUAUAGAAUUUGAGUGCUGUCCAGACUUUAAUAGAUUUGUAUUGGCAGGAGUGAUUUUUUCUUUUUCUUUUUCUUUUUCUUUUUCUUUUUCUUUUCUGUGAGUGAUGCAGUUCAAGCUUGUCUUCAGCUUGUGGAGAUCACAAAGGAAACAACCAAGAGGGGCAGAUUCCUCACCAAAAGAUGCUCCAAAGGUUAGUGAAGUCCAGAAGUGAGUAGCUAUCCCAAUGAAAUGGACACUCGAUGGAACCAUUACUAUUUCAAAACCCUUCAAAUUCUUUUGUAAGGUUGUGCUUAUAACUUGAUUUGCUGUAAUGUUGGGUAAGUACAAUCGAUGCUCGAAAAACCCCUCAAACCGUCAAAUUGGAUAUUCUUGUAUCUUAAUUUCAAUCCCAUAAUUUUGUGUCAAACAAAUUUAAAUCUUAUAUCUAAUAAAAGUCUAAUUUUAUUUGUGUA